rnacentral:rRNA from 1 species
GAACGGGUGNAGUAAUAUGCAGAAUGCUACCUUUUAGUUUAGUCUAAAAAAUAUUUAUAUAAUAAAUAUUUGAAUCCUAAAUAAAUCAUAAAGGUAUUGUUUUUAUAAACAAUUUUCCGCUAAAAGAUGGGUCUGUGUAAGAUUAGGUAGUUGGUGAAUUUAACAGCUUACCAAGCCUUUGAUCUUUAGUUGGUCUUAGAGGAUGAUCAACCACACUGGAACUGAAAUAAGGUCCAGGCUAAAUUUUUAGCCAGCAGUGAGGAAUAUUGGACAAUGAACGAAAGUUUGAUCCAGCAAUACUAUCUGAAUGAAGACGGCUUUUUGGUUUUAAAGUUCUUUCGUUAAGAAUGAUAAUGACAUUACUUAAAGAAGUUUAGUCCCGGCUAAUACUCGUGCCAGCAGCCGCGGUGAUACGGGAGGGGCAAGCGUUAUCUGGAAUAACUGGGCGUAAAGAGUCCGUAGAUUGUAAAGUAAGUUACUUGUUAAAUUUUAAAGCCUAACUUUAAGUUAGCUCGUAAUACUGCUUAACUCGAGUUUUAUACAGAAAAGUAGAAUUUUAUACGAAAGGGUAAAAUCUUAAAAUAUAUAAAGGAAUACCAGUAGCGAAGGCGACUUUUUAGUAAAAACUGACAUUGAGGGACGAAAGUGUGGGUAGCAAACAGGAUUAGAUACCCUGGUAGUCCACACUGUAAAUUCUGAGUGCUGUAAUUUAAGUGAGUAUAUUGAUAUAAAUUAGUAUUAUUAUUAAAAAAUUUAUUUAGAUUUUUAAGCUAACGCUAUAAGCACUCCGCCUGAGGAGUACGAUCGCAAGG